rnacentral:tRNA from 1 species
GCCGCAAUAGCCCAAUUGGAAGAGGCACACGGUUUAGGUCCGUGCAAGUGUGGGUUCGAAUCCUACUUGCGGCACAA